rnacentral:rRNA from 1 species
CCCUCACGAAGACGGAGUUGCUAGUAAUCCCGAAUCAGCAUGUCGGGGUGAAUGCGUUCCCGGGUCUUGUACACACUGCCCGUCACGCCAUGGGAGUCGGGGGUACCCGAAGUCAGUGGGCUAACCAGCAAUGGAGGCAGCUGCCGAAGGUAAAACUGAUGACUGGGGUGAAGUCGUAACAAGGUACC